rnacentral:lncRNA from 1 species
GGCUGGCUGAGACCGGACAUGAAAGCUGCAUAAAUACUCGAUUCUAUUCCAACCCACAGAAACACAGGCUUCGCCCUCUCAGUUCUCGGUCCCGCGUCGUGAGGCUGACAAGUGAGGCAGAUUCACAGCGUUAAACACCAGCCAUAGGAGUGACUUCUCCCACAUCCUCUGGGAGAGCGUGUGGGCAUUCUCCUGCAGGUCUAAACUCCUCCCACCAACGUGUGUGCAAAGCCGAGGAGAGAGAGAGGUUUUUUGGCAGGUCUUGAACAUUUAUGGAAGACAUCUGGAGGGAAUAUGUGGGGAUGACAGAAGAGAUGUCCCAAGAGAUAGGAGUGAAAGUCGGGGCAACUCCAUCGCCAGAAAAACAGGACCAGAUCAC